CCAACCUGUAGUAGAAUGUUGAGGACAGCGAAGCUAGUAUAUAACGUAGUAUAGCGUAGACUCGACUCUAUUUAUGUGUACUCUAUUCGGUGUGUCGCAUGGUUUGGCUUUCACGUUUUACAUGUUGUAGUGAUAGGAUAUCAUUACUUCAAUACGUACGAUCAUCCUAGAUUAGUUAAUUUCACCGGGUCUCUUUACUGUAAUGGCUGAUAUUAAGGAACUCACAGUGAAAGUCUAGUAGGAAAUAGUCAAGGUCGACGUUAGUUCUUAUAUGCAGUUAUCGUUAUGACAGAAGAGCAAAGUGAACUAUGGGGUCAAGGCCGUUACUCUCAGCAACAAUUUUGGUCGCCAUGACAUUGACAAGUUGUUCCGCGUUUCUGUGUAAAUGGUCUAAUGAAGGUUGUGAUAGGAAUGACGAGUGCUGCAGUGGUUCAUGCCAACAACUACAUCCGGGUAUGAACGCGAGAUGUACAAAAAGUGUGCUCCAUAAUCCUUGCAUAUUUACACACCACUGUCAAGAUAGACUCCACUGUGGUGCCGAUAACACGUGCUGUUCUAAAUACUGGGGAACGUGUCGUCGACAAAUAGACUGUUGCAACAAGAACUACAUUUGUAUCGACGUGAAAGGAUUUCAUUACAGACGUUGUUUGCCAGCGCCUGUUGACGGCGUAGGAAUAAAACAGAACGUCACAGCAAUACUCACUAUGUUUUCAACCUUUUUCAUUCUGUUUUUAAACCAGUUUUAACUUCUUUGUAAUGUUACAAUAAAACCCUUUUUUGCA